AAAGAUAAGCUAAAUAAAGCUAUUUAAUUCAUAAUUAAAUUAUAGAAAAUUAUUCUUCUUU
rnacentral:tRNA from 1 species